rnacentral:rRNA from 1 species
GAGCGGCGAACGGGUGAGUAACACGUGAGUAACCUGCCCCUGACUUUGGGAUAAGCCCGGGAAACUGGGUCUAAUACCGGAUACGACCAGCCUUGGCAUCGGGUGCUGGUGGAAAGUUUUUUCGGUUGGGGAUGGACUCGCGGCCUAUCAGCUUGUUGGUGGGGUAGUGGCCUACCAAGGCGACGACGGGUAGCCGGCCUGAGAGGGCGACCGGCCACACUGGGACUGAGACACGGCCCAGACUCCUACGGGAGGCAGCAGUGGGGAAUAUUGCGCAAUGGGCGAAAGCCUGACGCAGCGACGCCGCGUGGGGGAUGACGGCCUUCGGGUUGUAAACCUCUUUCAGCAGGGACGAAGUUGACGUGUACCUGCAGAAGAAGCGCCGGCUAACUACGUGCCAGCAGCCGCGGUAAUACGUAGGGCGCAAGCGUUGUCCGGAAUUAUUGGGCGUAAAGAGCUCGUAGGUGGCUUGUCACGUCUGCCGUGAAGCCCAUGGCUUAACUGUGGGUCUGCGGUGGAUACGGGCUGGCUAGAGGUAGGUAGGGNCAAGCGGAAUUCCU